rnacentral:rRNA from 1 species
AUUGAACGCUGGCGGCAUGCCUUACACAUGCAAGUCGAACGGUAACAGAUCUUCGGAUGCUGACGAGUGGCGAACGGGUGAGUAAUAUAUCGGAACGUGCCCAGUCGUGGGGGAUAACGCAGCGAAAGCUGUGCUAAUACCGCAUACGAUCUAUGGAUGAAAGCGGGGGAUCGCAAGACCUCGCGCGAUUGGAGCGGCCGAUAUCAGAUUAGGUAGUUGGUGGGGUAAAGGCCCACCAAGCCAACGAUCUGUAGCUGGUCUGAGAGGACGACCAGCCACACUGGAACUGAGACACGGUCCAGACUCCUACGGGAGGCAGCAGUGGGGAAUUUUGGACAAUGGGCGCAAGCCUGAUCCAGCAAUGCCGCGUGCAGGAUGAAGGCCUUCGGGUUGUAAACUGCUUUUGUACGGAACGAAAAGGCUCUGGUUAAUACCUGGGGCUCAUGACGGUACCGUAAGAAUAAGCACCGGCUAACUACGUG